rnacentral:rRNA from 1 species
UACGAAGGGGGCUAGCGUUGCUCGGAAUCACUGGGCGUAAAGGGUGCGUAGGCGGGUCUUUAAGUCAGGGGUGAAAUCCUGGAGCUCAACUCCAGAACUGCCUUUGAUACUGAGGAUCUUGAGUUCGGGAGAGGUGAGUGGAACUGCGAGUGUAGAGGUGAAAUUCGUAGAUAUUCGCAAGAACACCAGUGGCGAAGGCGGCUCACUGGCCCCGAUACUGAACGCUGAGGCACGAAAGCGUGGGGAGCAAACAGG